rnacentral:rRNA from 1 species
UACGUAGGGGGCAAGCGUUGUCCGGAUUUAUUGGGCGUAAAGAGCGUGUAGGCGGCCAGAUAGGUCCGUUGUGAAAACUGGAGGCUUAACCUCCAGCGGUCGAUGGAAACCAUCUGGCUAGAGUCCGGAAGAGGAGAGUGGAAUUCCUGGUGUAGCGGUGAAAUGCGCAGAUAUCAGGAAGAACACCCGUGGCGAAGGCGGCUCUCUGGGACGGUACUGACGCUGAGUGAGCGAAAGCCAGGGGAGCAAACGGG